GUACUACUCCCUCCGUCCAAAAAUAAUUGCCAUCAAAAUAGAUAUAAAGGGGUGUAUCUAGAACUAAAAUAUGUCUAGAUACAUCCUCUUUUAUUUAUUUUGAUAACAAGUAUUUCCGGACGGAAGGAGUACAAG
rfam:Triticum aestivum genome assembly, contig: Triticum_aestivum_CS42_TGACv1_scaffold_592266_7BS